AAAGAAUUCAACAAAUAGUCAACCACAGGCCAAGAUCUGUGGUGUUUACUUACAGAAGUAUGCUCAGACCAGAUGACCAGAGACAUGCCAACCCAAGGGGACUUGGAAUUUCUGGAUUUGGAAGGCCACAAGACUCUAGAUUUCAGCGUAUAGUCCUUGGUUCCAUUGAUCUUGGGCUAUGAAGAUCAUCACAGUAGCAGAAGCACGUGAAGAACAAGACCAUUCGUCUCCUACCAGGUAAAAACCAAAGAGCGAGACAGGUACUUGGGGCCACAUAGGACCAAGCUUUUAAGACACAUGAUCCAUUUCAUCUAACGAGGCUCCACCUUCUAAAAUUCCUACAGCUUCCCCAAAUACUGUCUCCAGCUGGUUGCCACCAUGCUCAACAUGUGAGCCUGUGGAAGGACAUUUCAUAUCAACCCAUAGUCCACCCUUAUCCCCAAAGUCCUCAUGGCCACGAUUUAGUGCAAAAUAUAUUUAAUCCAUUUUCAAAUACCCAUAAUCUUAACAUUUCCAACAUUCUUCAGAAAUGCAACUCUAGAGUCUCUACCAAGACUCAACGCAAUCUUUUAGCUAUGAUCCCUGCAAAAAAAUUUUUUUAAAGUCACUUUAAUAUACACAUUCUUUUUCCAAAGGGCAUAGAGAGAGGGAUGAAACCAAAGCAAGAACAGAGCCCAACAGGGCAAGCCAUAAACCCAGUGGCUCUGUGUCUGUAUCCAGAGCCAUGGUGACAUCACCUCAGCUCUAAAGGGCUUAGGUGGCUCCUCCACCUAGGACCUUUGUAGACUACAUGGCCUCUUCUCUUGAGCUGGCUGCACUCAUUAUCUGCAAUACAUCCAACAAUCUUGACAUCUCCAGAACCCUAGAGUCUCCCUGGCAGAUUAGAUUUCUCUCAGAAUCUUCAUGCGUUGUUUGCUCUGGCAACCCCGAUGGGAGUUCCAAACCCACCACACAUUGGUUAGCCUCCUUGGCUGUCCCUUGAUAUCUGUUUGGAAGCCUAUAUGACUCUGCAAUCUUUGCACCCUGCAUGACUGCAAAAGCAAGGCCACAUGGAUGUAGACAAGGUUGGCCAUCAGCCUGAGCAGAAAAUAGGUCCCUUGCACCAUAGUGGUAGCGACCACUGAGUGACUGAGCCAGGAAAAACACUUCUCUAGUCACCUCUGUGUGUACACGGUACUCAUGAGCUCUCCCCUCAGAGCAAAAUUUUUCAAAUGAGUUACACCCCUUUACAUCUUUGAUGGCAUCAUGGGUGGAACCUAGCUAAUUCUGGAGACAUCCUCAUGGAGUCCUUCCCAUUGUUCCAGGCCAAAGUACAUGGCUUCUUUCUCUUGGGAGUAAUGUCUUUAACAACUAAACCCUCGUCUGCAACUUCAAUAUGUUCCUCAUGGUUGGGUGGGAGACUCAUGUUCCAGCCCCUUUCAUGGCUAUAGUAAAACUUUGAGGGGAGUGGGGGACAGCCUUCCCUUUAAACUACAAACAACCUUUAUUGUCAUAGUAAUCAGAUUUGCAUUCUUUAUAUGUUCUUUGGGUGAAUAAUCAUCACAUGGAUGGUGUACUGUUGGCAUCCUCAACGAAUGGACAGGGCACAAUAGGCAUUUUAGAGAGAAAAGUGCCAAAGAGCUUCUCAUGGUGUACCAGCUGCUUCUUCCUGGUUCAGCAGACCCAUGCCAUUCAGAGGAGCCUUGCAGUUUCUUCUGGAUCAAGCCGCUGCUACUGAUUUAUGUUUGGUAUUUUGGACUGGACUGUUGUUCUGACAACAAAGACUGGAAUCGACCUAGAGAAUUACUUCUAAACAGGACCACAUCCCCCAUCGCCCAUUAAUCUUUCUUUUCCCUACCUCUGGUAGAUUGGCUAGAAGGGAGGUUGAAGAGUUUAAAAUUCCUUAUUAAAGUAGGUUUUGAAAAACCUAAACCUACAAAUUAUGAUUUAACUGGAAAUUUCAGAUGCAGGAAAAUUAAAAGAAAAACAAAACAAAA